rnacentral:rRNA from 1 species
GACGAACGCUGGCGGCGUGCUUAACACAUGCAAGUCGAACGGGCCUUGUCCCCUUUUUUUUUGGGGGUGGGGUUAGUGGCGAACGGGUGAGUAACACGUGAGUAACCUGCCCCUCACUUCUGGAUAACCGCUUGAAAGGGUGGCUAAUACGGGGUGUUCUGGCCUGCUCGCAUGGGUGGGUUUGGAAAGAUUCGACCGGUUUUGGUUGUUUUGGUGGGGGAUGGGCUCGCGGCCUAUCAGCUUGUUGGUGGGGUGAUGGCCUGCCAAGGCUUUGACGGGUAGCCGGCCUGAGAGGGUGGGCGGUCACACUGGGACUGAGACACGGCCCAGACUCCUACGGGAGGCAGCAGUGGGGAAUAUUGCACAAUGGGCGCAAGCCUGAUGCAGCGACGCCGCGUGAGGGAUGGAGGCCUUCGGGUUGUGAACCUCUUUCGCCAGUGAAGAAGGUCCUGCUCUUUGUGGUGGGGUUGACGGUAGCUGGGUUAAUGAAGCGCCGGCUAACUACG